rnacentral:rRNA from 1 species
CAUAACUGGUUAGCCCAUUUACCCAACAACUAAUCCCCUCAAACAGCUAUGGGGGGACAAAAAUCGUAACAUAGUAAGUGUACCAGAAAGUGCACUUGGAAAGACUCAGGAUGUGGCUCAACACAGAUAAAGCAUCUCCCUUACACUGAGAAGAUAUCCGUGCAAACCGGAUCGUCCUGACGCCAACUAGCUAGCCCACUUACCCAACAGCAACAAGCCACUAUCAAUACCCCCUAAUACAACCCACCCACAACCUAACCAAAUCAUUUUUCCUCCCUAGUACGGGCGACAGAAAAGAACCCA